rnacentral:misc_RNA from 1 species
GGUAAACGAUGUUGCUUUGAUAAAGGACAGACUUCACAAGGUGAAGAUUCAUUCACAAAAAUAUUAAGAGUAGGUAUUCUAAAUAUGGUAGACUUGGCUACAUGAUCCAACUGUUCAUGCCACAGAGUACAAGAGUUUGUGACUAAACCAUGAUUAUUGCAAUUCAAGCUACACUGUAGAGAGGUACUAAAAAAAGAUGAUAUAUUCAGCUUAUAUAGACCUGCACAUUCUUUUCCAAUAGCAACAAUCUCCUUAGUCGAGCGGUCCUGCAAAGUACAAUGGGAAGAGAAAAAGUGAAUCAAAAGGUUAGCGGUCUGUAAUAGCAUGCUAACAGAGAGAAGGUUGUGUUUAAAAGAAGGCACAUAUAAUACAUCUUUGAGAAUUAAUUUUGAGUGGGGAAAACUAGUGCCUACAUAUGUGACAUUUUGUUUUAUUCCAUCAGGUAAAAAAAUUAGUGAAAGAUUUUAUGGUUUGUGUGUUUGGAUAAAUAAGUGUAUAUUUAAAUAGAUGUGACUGGUUACACCUGGAUCAAUAAUCCAGGUACUGAUAUCCUCAUCACCUUUGCUAAAGAAACAAUAAUGGGGUCCAUUACCUGUAAAAUUUGAAUAGUUGGCAGUGUUUGUCUCUAUAGUUGCUUUACCCUUCAUGUAUUUGGCUAUUUCUUGUUGGAUAACAGAGGACAGAUUUAUAGUCCAAUCAUUUGACUGUGGGGAGUUAUCAGCUGGGGCAUCAUCCAUGGGUGUGUCAUGAGUACGAGCUGCAUAAGCUUGAUUCUGUGCAUUAGCUCAUUUUUGCUUCAGCUGCUUGUACCAAUCUGGGAAGCCAUGAAGCUUAAAACAAGAAUCACGCAUAUGACCUGAUGCUUUGCAGUGAGUACAAAAACGAUCAUCCUUCUUAACAAAAUCACGCUUCUUACCACCAGAACUCUGAUUCCUCUGUGCAUUUGUUUCUUUUACACCUUCAGCCUUGUAAUUUGAUUCCUUAACCAUCAUUACUCUAGCAUGAUCUACUGAAUCUGGUGGAGAAAGAACUUUGCGUUGUUUUUCAACACGCAGUACCAUGGAAUAUGCCUUGUUCACAAUAGGUAACUGGUCGAGCAAAAGAAUUUAAUUGCGAACAUGGUAAUACCCAUCAUUCAAGCCCAUGAGGAAUUGAAUUAAUCUAUCCUCAUUUUUAAUAUCUGCAACAAUUUUGGCAACCCCACAAUUGCAAACUGGGAAGUUUCUCAAGCAAGAUAAUUCAUUCCAAAGCUUUUUCAGCUUUGUAAAAUACACCAUUAUCGAUAGAUUCCCUUGAGUGAAAGAGCUAAUUUCACGUCUAAUUUGGUAGAGCAACAGGCCAUUGCUCUUACCAAACCUUUGUUUAAGCUCAUUCCAUAGUUCACAUGUCGUAAAUGCAUACAGAAACUCCUCCACCAGGUCUUUAGAAAUAGAAUUUAGUAUCCAUGACAAAACCAUACUAUCAACCCUUUCCCAUUUUUCAAACGAUGGAGACUCAACAUUAGGCAUAACGCACUUCCCAUUUAUGAAACCCAAUUUAUCCUUAGCUUUGAGAGCAAUUUUCAUAGAUCGACUCCAUGAGAAAAAAUUAAGCCCAGUUAAAGGAGCACUCACCAGUAGCAUUCCUGGGUGACCAGAGUUUUGGAGGCUGUAAGGAUCAUUAUCGGAAAUUAUAUUGUUGAUGAGAAUCCCAUCAUUAGCAGAAUCAGCAGUGUUGGCAGGAACCCCAUCAUUCUGAGUGCUGGACAGAAUUACCUCAUCCAUGAAGAAAAAACUCAGAGCAUCUCAGGUCACAAUAAUCGUUGCUCUGAUACCAUGCAGCAAGUAAGGCAAAAUAGCCAAACAGAAGAGCAAAGAUAAUUGAGAGAAUUAUAUUCUCAUUUCAUAUGUCUGAUAUGAUACAAGAAGGCUCUAUAUAUACAAGUGAAAAGAAUAAUCUAGAAUACAAGAGAAUAAUUCUGGAAUGCUAGCUAGCUGAGCUGUACAAUCUACAAGUAGCCUUUAACGGAAUGCCAAGCUGGAGUAACAAACUAACAAACGUUUUUGGCGCCUUUUAUGAAUAACUUUAUCAGAAAAACAUUUGCAAUAAACUUAAAAUUUUCAUAAAAGCAUCAUCUUUCUUUGUUAUUGCACAUGGUAAAACUCAAUAGUAAUCAACUUCCAUUGCAGACUAAACCAAAAACCAAAACUUGAAAUUGGCUAAGAAGUAACAAGCAAAGAGUAGAUGCCCUGCAUAAAACAUACCUUGGAGAAAAUAAAGAAAGGUACAGCAGAAACAAAAUAUUCCUCCGAUAUCUCUGGUUGCUCCUCAGCCUCCACCCUGAGGAAGUGGGCGUUGGGGAGAUCAGUGGCAAGGUGGAAGAAGACUUGGUCCAUGUGCCUGGAGGCUUCGCACCAUGACCCCCAGAAGUGAACGAUUACCGGUGUGCCACUGCUGCGCAAGUUAUCUAGCUCCGACUUAAAGAUUU